rnacentral:rRNA from 1 species
UACAGAGGGUGCAAGCGUUAAUCGGAGUUACUGGGCGUAAAGGGCGCGUAGGCGGUUAUAUAAGUGAGAUGUGAAAUCCCUGGGCUUAACCUAGAAACUGCAUCUCAUACUGUAUGACUGGAGUAUUGUAGAGGGUAGUGGAAUUUCCGGUGUAGAGGUGAAAUUCGUAGAUAUCGGGAGGAACACCGGUGGCGAAGGCGGCGAUCUGGGUAGAUACUGACGCUGAGGUGCGAAAGCGUGGGGAGCAAACAGG